GGAGGGGUGGCCGAGCGGCCGAAGGCGCCGGUCUUGAAAACCGGUAGGCAGGCAACUGCCUCGUGGGUUCGAAUCCCACCCCCUCCGC
rnacentral:tRNA from 1 species